UUUAAAGAGUCGGUUCAAAGAAUCGGUUCGGUUCAAAGAGUCGACUCAGUUUACCGAAAGUGAAAGUGUUUCUCAGUCUCGACUCCAUUUUGAGUAACGGUUAGAAAAACACAAAGAUCUUCACCAGCAGCCAGAAGCGGUGAGAUUCAUGUCCAACAACAAGCAGUGCUGAAGAAAAGUGGGAAUGUGAUUAAUUCCAACAGAAGAGAUCGGCGUCUUCAGGACUCUGUGUGUACACAAGCAUUAAAAAAUGGAGAUUACUGAUCAGGGGACAGGUCAUGUGACCUCACCGUCAAAAGACAGUAAACGAAAGAGAGAGAAAUCACACUCGCCAGAACCCAGCUGUGUCUCUAUGAAGAGUGAUGAGUCUAUGAGUCUUCUUCACAACUUCAGUAAUGAAAACCCCUCACCUGUACACAGCGUUGAGCAAAAACCCAAAGAACUGGACUUUCUGUUCCAAUACUUUUGGAGGUUUGUGUAAGAAGAAUAGAAAACGAGGAAAAAGUGACUAAUUUAAACUGGGGCACAUUUAAUUCACCAGGUGCACAAUGUUGGAGUUCAAGUUUAUUUCUAUUGAGCUUUUCACAAUGGAUUUUGUCUUAAAGCA